GCCCCCGUGGUGGAAUUGGUAGACGCGCUCGACUCAAAAUCGAGUUCCGAAAGGAGUGUCAGUUCGAGUCUGACCGGGGGCACCA
rnacentral:tRNA from 1 species